UUAUUACCAGGAGUUCCCUACAAGCACUUCAUGAGGCCUUAGCUUAUUAAGGGAUCUUGUGAAGUGUUUGGGGGAACUCUCGGUGUCAC
rnacentral:pre_miRNA from 1 species